AACGAACGCUGGCAGCAUGCCUAACACAUGCAAGUCGAACGAGAUCUUCGGGUCUAGUGGCGCACGGGUGCGUAACGCGUGGGAAUCUGCCCUUUGGUUCGGAAUAACAGUUGGAAACGACUGCUAAUACCGGAUGAUGACGAAAGUCCAAAGAUUUAUCGCCAGAGGAUGAGCCCGCGUAGGAUUAGCUAGUUGGUGUGGUAAAGGCGCACCAAGGCGACGAUCCUUAGCUGGUCUGAGAGGAUGAUCAGCCACAAUGGGACUGAGACACGGCCCAGACUCCUACGGGAGGCAGCAGUGGGAAAUAUUGGACAAUGGGCGAAAGCCUGAACCAGCAAUGCCGCUUGAGUGAUGAAGGCCUUAGGGUUGUAAAGCUCUUUUACCCGGGAUGUUAAUGACAGUACCGGGAGAAUAAGCUCCGGCUAACUCCGUGCCAGCAGCCGCCGUAA
rnacentral:rRNA from 1 species